rnacentral:rRNA from 1 species
GUGGGGAAUAUUGGACAAUGGGCGAAAGCCUGAUCCAGCCAUGCCGCGUGUGUGAAGAAGGUCUUCGGAUUGUAAAGCACUUUAAGUUGGGAGGAAGGGCAUUAACCUAAUACGUUAGUGUUUUGACGUUACCGAUAGAAUAAGCACCGGCUAACUUCGUGCCAGCAGCCGCGGUAAUACGAAGGGUGCAAGCGUUAAUCGGAAUUACUGGGCGUAAAGCGCGCGUAGGUGGUUCGUUAAGUUGGAUGUGAAAGCCCCGGGCUCAACCUGGGUACUGCAUCCAAAACUGGCGAGCUAGAGUACGGUAGAGGGUGGUGGAAUUUCCUGUGUAGCGGUGAAAUGCGUAGAUAUAGGAAGGAACACCAGUGGCGAAGGCGACCACCUGGACUGAUACUGACACUGAGGUGCGAAAGCGUGGGGAGCAAACAGGAUUAGAAACCCGGGUAGUCC